rnacentral:tRNA from 1 species
UCGCGCAGCGCGCGGCGGCGUUCGGCUGCCCGAUCGCGUACACCGAUCUGCGCGAAAUCGCCGAUGUGCGUUAUCGCUUCGUCGCCGAUCUGCGCGAUC